rnacentral:lncRNA from 1 species
CGGACUCGGCUGCGAGAACCCUGGCGUCAGGUAUCGCUAUGCGAAGGACCUCCUGGCUCCAAGUUUCGGGUUUGCCCCCUGAGUUGCAACAAACCCUGCAGGAUUUGCCCUUUGAAGGACAUGGGUUGUUCUCUGAUAAGACGGACUCUCGCCUGCAGAGCCUCAAGGACUCCAGAACAAUCAUGCGCUCCCUGGGGAUGCACGUUGCGGGUCCUCAGCGCAGGCCAUUUAGGCCUCAGCCUCAGCGCUUCUACCCCCCCCCACCUCGUCAGAGACACAACUCUGCCCAGAGGCGGGGGCGAGGUGGUAGAAGAAGGUGGACCAGCCCUCAACCCGGUCGGAACCAAGGGCCACCAAGACCACCCUCAGGCCCCAGGCAGAACUUUUGAAGGUGCUGUCGAGGACGGCGCCCCAGUCAUCCCCCAGGAUCCAGCCCCCUCCUUUCGGGAUCGCCUCUCCCACUUCCACCGUGCUUGGUCCCUUAUAACCUCGGACCGUUGGGUCCUUCGCACGGUGGAGAGGGGAUACGCUAUCCAGUUUUCUUCAUUCCCUCCCUCCCACCCCCCUUCCCCGUCCCUCUUCAGGGACCCUUCUCACGAGCAACUUCUUAUACAGGAGGUUUCCACGCUCCUUUCUAUGGGGGCCAUAGAGGAGGUUCCAUUAGAGUUAAGGGGCAGGGGAUUUUAUUCCCGUUACUUUCUGAUCCCCAAGUCCAAAGGGGGUCUGAGACCCAUCUUAGACUUGCGCGGACUCAACAAAUUUAUAGUAAAGUUGAAGUUCCGCAUGGUCUCUUUAGGGACCAUUAUUCCUUCCCUCGAUCCUGGAGACUGGUUCGCCGCCCUCGACAUGAAAGAUGCAUACUUUCAUAUUGCGAUUUACCCACCUCACAGACGCUUCCUGCGAUUCGUGGUAAGCAAGGUGCACUAUCAGUUUGCAGUCCUUCCCUUCGGCCUAUCCUCGGCCCCAAGGGUGUUUACGAAAUGUAUGGCUGUUGUGGCAGCGUACCUUCGUCGACAAGGGAUACAGGUGUUCCCGUACCUAGACGACUGGUUGGUACGCGGUCGCACCAAAGAGCAAGUUCGAGCUCACGUCCACAUAAUAGUGCACACAUUCAACGAAUUGGGCAUCCUACUCAACAGGGACAAAUCCACUCUAGAGCCUACCCAGAGAAUAGAAUUUAUCGGCGCAGU